AUGCACGCUAGCUACAGGCUUAACCCCUGCAAGUCGAGGGGAAACGGCAUCGAAAGCUUGCUUUUGAUGGGCGUCGACCGGCGCACGGGUGAGUAACGCGUAUCCAACCUGCCCAUCACUUGGGAAUAACCUUGCGAAAGUAAGACUAAUGCCCAAUGACAUCCCACGAAGGCAUCCGAAUGGGAUUAAAGAUUUAUCGGUGAUGGAUGGGGAUGCGUCUGAUUAGCUUGUUGGCGGGGUGACGGCCCACCAAGGCAACGAUCAGUAGGGGUUCUGAGAGGAAGGUCCCCCACAUUGGAACUGAGACACGGUCCAAACGCCUACGGGAGGCAGCAGUGAGGAAUAUUGGUCAAUGGGCGAGAGCCUGAACCAGCCAAGUAGCGUGCAGGAUGACGGCCCUAUGGGUUGUAAACUGCUUUUAUAAGGGAAUAAAGUGGGUCACGUGUGACUUUUUGCAUGUACCUUAUGAAUAAGGACCGGCUAAUUCCGUG
rnacentral:rRNA from 1 species